rnacentral:rRNA from 1 species
UACGUAGGGUGCAAGCGUUAAUCGGAAUUACUGGGCGUAAAGCGUGCGCAGGCGGUUUUGUAAGUCUGACGUGAAAUCCCCGGGCUCAACCUGGGAAUUGCGUUGGAGACUGCAAGGCUGGAGUCUGGCAGAGGGGGGUAGAAUUCCACGUGUAGCAGUGAAAUGCGUAGAGAUGUGGAGGAAUACCGAUGGCGAAGGCAGCCCCCUGGGAUAAUACUGACGCUCAGGCACGAAAGCGUGGGGAGCAAACAGG